CAGUAGCCACGGUAAUACGGAGGGUGCAAGCGUUAAUCGGAAUUACUGGGCGUAAAGCGCACGCAGGCGGUUUGUUAAGUCAGAUGUGAAAUCCCCGGGCUCAACCUGGGAACUGCAUUUGAAACUGGCAAGCUAGAGUCUCGUAGAGGGGGGUAGAAUUCCAGGUGUAGCGGUGAAAUGCGUAGAGAUCUGGAGGAAUACCGGUGGCGAAGGCGGCCCCCUGGACAAAGACUGACGCUCAGGUGCGAAAGCGUGGGGAGCAAACAGGAUUAGAUACCCCUGUAGUCCCUGUCUCUUAUAA
rnacentral:rRNA from 1 species